ensembl:misc_RNA Metazoa_SRP Metazoan signal recognition particle RNA
GCCUGUGGUCCCAGCUACUUAGGAGGCUGAGGUGGGAGGAUCGCUUGAGCCCAGGAGUUCCAGGCUGUAGUGUAAUAUGCCAAUCAGGCGUCACACUAAGUUUGGUGUCAAUAUGGUUACCUCCCGGGAGCAGGGGACCACCAGGUUGCCUAAGGAGGGGUGAAACGGCCCAGGUCAGAAACCAAGCAGGUCAAAACUCCUGUGCUGAUCAGCAGUGGGAUCGCGCCUGUGAAUAGCCGCUGCUGCACUCCAGCCUGGGCAACAUAGCGAGACCCCGUCUCUU